GCUGCCCGGGCCCUGAUUCCUUUAGAGGAGAAGCCCCGGUCUCCUCCACCCCGGCAGGCAUGCACAUGAGGAAGGGGGAGGACAGCAAAGAUGAGUUCUGAUUUAAAGAGGCUGAUCCAACAGCAGCUGCCCAGGGAAAAUCUGUACGGCCCUCCCAAGGAGUAGAGCUGGGGAGCACCUGUUGCAAGGACAGGGAAAGAGGAUGAAGGGUCUUCAGUUCAGCAGAUUUAAACCUUGCAAUCAUUUCCUAGGAGCUGGAUACCUGAUACAAGGGAUGUUUUGAAGGAUUUAUCCUGCUGCCCAUCAUCAUAGUAUCUCCCAUGUAAAAUCAGCAUCAGGAGCUAGCUCCCCAGUGCCUUCACUGAGUCUCCAGCACUUCUCUCCUUAUGGAGUCAG